rnacentral:tRNA from 1 species
AAGUAGCCGCCGGACGAACGGAUAUCAUUGAUGUUGAUAAAUAUGAGGGUAACCUUGCUGCUUU